UAAUCGCUUAGGGGUGGGGUGAGAUUCCCGACCGACGGUAUAGUCCGUGAAGCCGAUUUCGGCCCGAACAGGUGAGAUUCCUGUACCGACGGUAUAGUCCGGACGAUAUAAGCGAAAU
rnacentral:ncRNA from 2 species